rnacentral:lncRNA from 1 species
AAGGUAGUUGGCCAUCUUCGAUCUACAGAUUACAGAUUAUAAUCCGCAGAUCGAUCCCUCCAUGGAAAUUUGCUCGAAACUGGAUGCGACCAAAGACGGAGGAAGAAAGGGUGGGAAGUAAAAUUAUCAGAUGAUAUGAUUUCUUCCAGUAUGGAAAUGUACUGCAGACUUCGCGGCGCACUGUACCGGACUGGGACGUAUGGCUUCUGAUGGAUCGCGGAUCACUCUUUUUCUUUCUCCUCCUGAAAACAACUCACUAGCAAACUAACCCUUCCACGUAAUUUGUAUGAAAUGUUUUAAUUUUUUUUUUGAAAUGAAAUGUUUUUAAUUUUUUUUUGAAAUGAAAUGUUUUUGUGUUCGGUAAGUAAAGGAAUUUAUUUUUAAUUAGUAUUAGCUUUUUUGAGGAAUUUAAUAUAAAUUUAUUAAUUAAAAGUAAAAUGAUAUAUAUUUAUUAUCAAUGAUAAAUAGUAAUUUUUUGUCAGAUGAAAACUAAUCAAAGUAUGUGUGAAAAUUUU